UACGUAGGGCGCAAGCGUUAUCCGGAAUUAUUGGGCGUAAAGAGCUCGUAGGCGGUUUGUCGCGUCUGCCGUGAAAGUCCGGGGCUCAACUCCGGAUCUGCGGUGGGUACGGGCAGACUAGAGUGAUGUAGGGGGAGACUGGAAUUCCUGGUGUAGCGGUGAAAUGCGCAGAUAUCAGGAGGAACACCGAGCGAAGGCAGCUCUGGGACGGUAACUGACGCUGAGGACGAAAGCGUGGGGGAGCAAACAGG
rnacentral:rRNA from 1 species